GAGAGGGAUAUCCGGGAAACUGGGGCUAAUACUCAUAGACUAUGAAUGCUGGAAUGCUUCGUAGUUCAAAGGUCCGCCGCCAUAGGAUGGGUCUGCGGCCGAUUAGGUAGUUGUUGGGGUACGGCCCAACAAGCCUGUAAUCGGUACGGGUUGUGGGAGCAAGAGCCCGGAGAUGGAUUCUGAGACACGAAUCCAGGCCCUACGGGGCGCAGCAGGCGCGAAAACUUUACAAUGCGGGAAACCGUGAUAAGGGAACUCCGGGUGCCCGUUAAAUCGGGCUGUCCAUCAGUUUAAAAAACUGGUGAAGAAAGGGCCGGGCAAGACCGGUGCCAGCCGCCGCGGUAAUACCGGUGGCUCGAGUGGUGGCCACUAUUACUGGGCUUAAAGCGUUCGUAGCUGGUUUGUUAAGUCUCUGGGGAAAUCUUCCGGCUUAACCGGAAGGCGUCUCAGGGAUACUGGCAGACUAGGGACCGGAAGAGGUGAGGGGUACUCCAGGGGUAGGAGUGAAAUCCUGUAAUCCUUGGGGGACCACCUGUGGCGAAGGCGCCUCACCAGGACGGCUCCGACAGUGAGGGACGAAAGCUGGGGGAGCAAACCGGAUUAGAUACCCGGGUAGUCCCAGCCGUAAACGAUGUGCGUUAGGUGUAUCGGUGACCACGAGUCACCGAGGUGCCGAAGAGAAAUCGUGAAACGUACCGCCUGGGAAGUACGGUCGCAAGGCUGAAACUUAAAGGAAUUGGCGGGGGAGCACCACAACAGGUGGAGCCUGCGGUUUAAUCGGACUCAACGCCGGAAAACUCACCAGAUAAGACAGCUGAAUGAUAGUCGGGCUGAAGACUCUACUUGACUAGCUGAGAGGAGGUGCAUGGCCGUCGUCAGUUCGUACUGUGAAGCAUCCUGUUAAGUCAGGCAACGAGCGAGACCCACGCCAACAGUUGCUAGCUCGUCCCCCGGGAUGGAGAGGACACUGUUGGGACCGCCUCUGCUAAAGAAGAGGAAGGAAUGGGCAACGGUAGGUCAGCAUGCCCCGAAUUAUCUGGGCUACACGCGGGCUACAAUGGGUGGGACAAUGGGUAUCGACACCGAAAGGUGAAGGCAAUCUCCUAAACCCAUCCUUAGUUCGGAUUGUGGGCUGCAACCCGCCCACAUGAAGCUGGAAUUCUGUAGUAAUCGU
rnacentral:rRNA from 1 species